UAUUCGCGGGGUAGGGGAGCGUUCUGUAAGCGGUUGAAGGUGUACCGGGAGGUAUGCUGGACGUAUCAGAAGUGCGAAUGCUGACAUGAGUAACGAUAAGAGGAGUGAAAAACUCCUCCGCCGGAAGACCAAGGGUUCCUAUCCCAUGUUAAUCAGGGUAGGGUAAGUCGACCCCUAAGGCGAGGCUGAAGAGCGUAGUCGAUGGGAAACGGGUUAAUAUUCCCGUACUUGGAAUAAUUGCGAUGGGGGGACGGAGCAGGCUAAGUAAGCAUGGCGUUGGUUGUCCAUGUGAAAGUGUGUAGGCUGAGAACUUAGGAAAAUCCGGGUUCUUAAGGCUGAGACACGAGACGAGCAUCUACGGAUGUGAAGUUACUGAUGCCCUACUUCCAGGAAAAGCCUCUAAGCUUCAGAUUAUUUCGAAUCGUACCCCAAACCGACACAGGUGGUCAGGUAGAGAAUACUAAGGCGCUUGAGAGAACUCGGGUGAAGGAACUAGGCAAAAUUGUACCGUAACUUCGGGAGAAGGUACGCUGACAUUAGGUGAAGAGCUUCGCGCUUGGAGCUGAAGUCAGCCGCAGUGACCAGGUGGCUGGGACUGUUUAUUAAAAACACAGCACUGUGCAAAAUCGUAAGAUGACGUAUACGGUGUGACACCUGCCCGGUGCCGGAAGGUUAAUUGAUGGGGUUAGACUUAGGUCGAAGCUCUUGAUCGAAGCCCCGGUAAACGGCGGCCGUAACUAUAACGGUCCUAAGGUAGCGAAAUUCCUUGUCGGGUAAGUUCCGACCUGCACGAAUGGUGUAACCAUGGCCACGCUGUCUCCACCCGAGACUCAGUGAAAUUGAAAUCGCAGUGAAGAUGCUGUGUACCCGCGGCUAGACGGAAAGACCCCGUGAACCUUUACUACAGCUUGGCACUGAACAUUGACCCUACAUGUGUAGGAUAGGUGGGAGGCUUUGAAGCGCAGACGCUAGUUUGUGUGGAGCCGUCCUUGAAAUACCACCCUUGUAGUGUUGAUGUUCUAACUUAGGCCCCUAAUCGGGGUUGAGGACAGUGCCUGGUGGGUAGUUUGACUGGGGCGGUCUCCUCCCAAAGAGUAACGGAGGAGCACGAAGGUUGGCUAAGUACGGUCGGACAUCGUACGGUUAGUGUAAUGGUAGAAGCCAGCUUAACUGCGAGACAGACACGUCGAGCAGGUACGAAAGUAGGUCAUAGUGAUCCGGUGGUUCUGAAUGGAAGGGCCAUCGCUCAACGGAUAAAAGGUACUCCGGGGAUAACAGGCUGAUACCGCCCAAGAGUUCAUAUCGACGGCGGUGUUUGGCACCUCGAUGUCGGCUCAUCACAUCCUGGGGCUGAAGUCGGUCCCAAGGGUAUGGCUGUUCGCCAUUUAAAGUGGUACGCGAGCUGGGUUUAGAACGUCGUGAGACAGUUCGGUCCCUAUCUGCCGUGGGCGUUUGAGAAUUGAGAGGGGCUGCUCCUAGUACGAGAGGACCGGAGUGGACGAACCGCUGGUGUUCGGGUUGUGAUGCCAAUUGCAUUGCCCGGUAGCUACGUUCGGAAUCGAUAACCGCUGAAAGCAUCUAAGCGGGAAGCGAGCCUCGAGAUGAGUUCUCACUUUAACUUUAAGUUAACUGAAGGGCCGUUGAAGACUACAACGUUGAUAGGCUGGGUGUGGAAGUGUAGUGAUACAUUAAGCUAACCAGUACUAAUUACCCGUGAGGCUUAACCAU
rfam:Pseudoalteromonas sp. JW1 Pseudoalteromonas_sp_JW1_S19, whole genome shotgun sequence.